ensembl:lncRNA
AGGACCUGUGUGCAGAACCAGAAGAGAGCAGGGCUGGGUGCAGAAAGGCUGGAGGAAGAGUGCAAAGGGCCUGGUUCUGGUCAGUGCCCAGGGUCAGGAGGACAGGCCCCAACAUGGUCUCCAGGAAUGGCAGAGCUGAAGAAGCCGGUCCUCACUCAGAGUGGCCAGGCUGCAUGCCAGGGACUCCAAGGUGCUCUCCUGUGUGGAAAGGUGCCACCAGCUGUCCUGGAUUCGGUUCUGACAUCUGCUCCCAACAGCCAAGCCUUGUGCCCAGCUGGUUCCUCCCAGGCCUUCCAAUUUAGCCACCUACUCUUGUCCUCAAAGGAAUCUGAGGCCCUGCCUGUGAGGAAGGGGACUGGUGACCUGGCCAGGCUGGGCUCUGCUCAAAUCUCUUCUGGGGUGAAGGAGACCUUUGUGCCUGGCCAAGUCUGUAAAGUCUUCCCUGCUCAGCACAGGGUGGGUGCUGGCUGGGCCCCUCUACAGAUGCGGUGAGGAAGCUACCACGGAACAACAAGGAGGCUCCUUCCCCAACAGGCUGGCGAUUCCACAGGACCCACUGCUCUGCCCCUAAGAUGCUGCUGCCAGUGCUCCUUGCACUGGCUCCACCUGCUCAUCUUCCAGGUCUUUGUUCACAUUCUUCCCUCUACCUGGUGGCCUGUCCCUCUUUGCCAGAGAGCAACUGCCUCUCCUCAACUUUGGAGACUCAGCUUUAUUUGGUCAACUCUGGAUUUCUCACCAACAUUUGGUCCCAGGCAUGUUCCAUGUAGCCACAUCAUCUUUAUUUCAAUGACUUCUGUGUAACUCAGAGCAACCCUCUGCACUUUGGUAUCUCAUCUCUGCCUGCAUCCUUCUCCCAUCAGGACUCAGGAGCUCUGAGGCAAUUUGUCUACUGUGGGUCAUGUUCCUUCACUCAGCCUGUGCUUACUAAGCAUUUACUCUGUGCCAGACUCUGACUUAAGGCACAGAAUUAGGAUGUGGCUGAUCUGUUUGGAGUCUGCAGACUAGAGGAGGAGACUGAGAAAUUAAGCAGUCAUAACAGGAGGGGGCUUAUGAAUGUGUGACGGAGGGAAGACAGAGCCUAUGGGGAAGCUUUGGGGAAGAGGGCCUAGCUCAGACUUGGACAUUAGAAAGCUCUUUUUCC